GUGGAAGGCAGUUGUUCACGGCAGACCAGUGAGCGGCGGUGGGUGGGCGCGACCACAUGGUGGUUGGAAAGUAGGCUUCGCGGCGUUCAGCCUCGGCCACCAUCGUACCACGAUCUCGGCCCACCCGGAAAGUCAGAUGAAGAGGUGGUGGAUGACUGAUCCCAGAGAGGAGAACAAGCCUCCAAGCACGUGCUCGUCAACUCCAUGCCGGCCGCUCCAAGCGCCCCUGCUUCGUGUCUUCGAGGCAGGCGCUGAGAUAGCCUUUGCAGCGAGCUGUGGUGUGUGGACUCUGCAGCGAGAUAGGAUUCAGAAUCCUUUUCCGUGAUAGCACCUCCAAGGAAGGAAGGAAGGACAUUGAGGUCGGCACCUCCUGAAGGCAUGCAUGCUCUCCACCGAGAGAGGGAAGGGCAUCUUUUUCUUGGGUUGCAGUUUCCACCUUGUUGUUGGGUGAGCUGAUUCGUUGUUUGUCAGAGCUCUUGUGGAUAAUCAGACAUGGGGUUCAUGGCAAAAUUAGGACAGACUGAAGGCAGCAAAUUCCGCGUUGGUCGUGCACUUUGAGGAGAAGACAUUGUCUUUAUAUAAGUGCCCCUACAAUCAUCUCUUUACAGCAGAGAUAAGGCCUUCAGAUAGAUAUGGCCGCAUAAAUCGCAUCGAUGGAUCCAGUCCUUCGCUAGGUCCAACCUACCCCGCACCAGCCUCAAGCACGCGAGAC